UACCAGACUCCUACGGGAGGCAGCAGUGGGGAAUAUUGCACAAUGGGGGAAACCCUGAUGCAGCGACGCCGCGUGAGCGAUGAAGUAUUUCGGUAUGUAAAGCUCUAUCAGCAGGGAAGAAGAUGACGGUACCUGACUAAGAAGCCCCGGCUAACUACGUGCCAGCAGCCGCGGUAAUACGUAGGGGGCAAGCGUUAUCCGGAUUUACUGGGUGUAAAGGGAGCGUAGACGGCGAUGCAAGCCAGAUGUGAAAGCCCGGGGCUCAACCCCGGGACUGCAUUUGGAACUGUGUGGCUGGAGUGUCGGAGAGGCAGGCGGAAUUCCUAGUGUAGCGGUGAAAUGCGUAGAUAUUAGGAGGAACACCAGUGGUGAAGGCGGCCUGCUGGACGAUGACUGACGUUGAGGCUCGAAAGCGUGGGGAGCAAACAGGAUUAGAUACCCCUGUAA
rnacentral:rRNA from 1 species